rnacentral:rRNA from 1 species
GACGAACGCUGGCGGCGUGCUUAACACAUGCAAGUCGAACGAUGAACCCGGAGCUUGCUCUGGGGGAUUAGUGGCGAACGGGUGAGUAACACGUGAGUAACCUGCCCUGGACUCUGGGAUAAGCGUUGGAAACGACGUCUAAUACCGGAUAGGACCUUGGAUCGCAUGAUCUGGGGUGGAAAGUUUUUUCGGUCUGGGAUGGACUCGCGGCCUAUCAGCUUGUUGGUGAGGUAAUGGCUCACCAAGGCGUCGACGGGUAGCCGGCCUGAGAGGGUGACCGGCCACACUGGGACUGAGACACGGCCCAGACUCCUACGGGAGGCAGCAGUGGGGAAUAUUGCACAAUGGGCGAAAGCCUGAUGCAGCAACGCCGCGUGCGGGAUGACGGCCAUCGGGUUGUAAACCGCUUUUAGUAGGGAAGAAGGGCUUCGGCUUGACGGUACCUGCAGAAAAAGGACCGGCUAACUACGUG